rnacentral:rRNA from 1 species
GAAUUUUGGGCAAUGGGGGAAACCCUGACCCAGCAACGCCGCGUGAAGGAUGAAGUAUUUCGGUAUGUAAACUUCGAAAGAAUAGGAAGAAUUAAUGACGGUACUAUUUAUAAGGUCCGGCUAACUACGUGCCAGCAGCCGCGGUAAUACGUAGGGACCAAGCGUUGUUCGGAUUUACUGGGCGUAAAGGGCGCGUAGGCGGCGCGGUAAGUCACUUGUGAAAUCUCUGAGCUUAACUCAGAACGGCCAAGUGAUACUGCAGUGCUAGAGUGUGGAAGGGGCAAUCGGAAUUCUUGGUGUAGCGGUGAAAUGCGUAGAUAUCAAGAGGAACACCUGAGGUGAAGACGGGUUGCUGGGCCAACACUGACGCUGAGGCGCGAAAGCCAGGGGAGCAAACGGG